GACGAACGCUGGCGGCGUGCUUAACACAUGCAAGUCGAGCGAUGAAGUUCCUUCGGGAAUGGAUUAGCGGCGGACGGGUGAGUAACACGUGGGUAACCUGCCUCAUAGAGGGGAAUAGCCUUUCGAAAGGAAGAUUAAUACCGCAUAAGAUUGUAGUAUCGCAUGAUACAGCAAUUAAAGGAGUAAUCCGCUAUGAGAUGGACCCGCGUCGCGUUAGCUAGUCGGUGAGGUAACGGCUCACCAAGGCGAGGAUGCGUAGCCGACCUGAGAGGGGGAUCGGCCACGAUGGGACGGGGAGGCGGCCGAGACUCCUACGGGAGGCAGCAGGGGGGAAUAUUGCACAAUGGGGGAAACCCUGAUGCAGCAACGCCGCGUGAGUGAUGACGGUCUUCGGAUUGUAAAACUCUGUCUUCAGGGACGAUAAUGACGGUACCUGAGGAGGAAGCCACGGCUAACUACGUGCCAGCAGCCGCCGCCGUAA
rnacentral:rRNA from 1 species